rnacentral:misc_RNA from 1 species
GUAGAUGAAGCGGAAGGAUAGUAGUGAUGCAGAUCCGUAAUCAUGAAUGUUGACGCACAUGCGCCCCCUGGCAUUCCGGGGGGCAUGCCUGGUCGAGCGUCAUUUCAACCCCUCAAGCCCGGCUUGUGUGAUGGACGACCGUCCCCCCUCCCCAGUAACCACCCACCGCUUAGGGGGGUGGGAGGGAGGGGGACGCGCCCGAAAAGCAGUGGUCAGGCCGCGAUUCCGGCUCCUGGGCGAAUGGGACAUACCACCGCCUCCAGGACCGGCCGGCAGGCUGGCCUAACGCACCAUGUAUUAUUCAGGUUGACCUCGGAUCAGGUAG